AACGAACGCUGGCGGCAUGCCUAACGCAUGCAAGUCGAACGAGACCUUCGGGUCUUGUGGCGCACGGGUGCGUAACGCGUGGGAACCUGCCCUUAGGUUCGGAAUAACUCCCCGACAGGGGUGCUAAUACCGGAUAAUGUCUUCGGCCCAAAGAUUUAUCGCCUUUGGAUGGGCCCGCGUUGGAUUCGCUAGUUGGUAGGGUAAAAGCCUACCAAGGCGACGAUCCAUAGCUGGUCUGAGAGGAUGAUCAGCCACACUGGGACUGAGACACGGCCCAGACUCCUACGGGAGGCAGCAGGGGGGAAUAUGGGACAAUGGGCGAAAGCCUGAUCCAGCAAGGCCGCGUGAGUGAUGAAGGAGUUAGGGUUGUAAAGCUCUUUUACCCGGGAUGAUAAUGACAGUACCGGGAGAAUAAGCUCCGGCUAACUCCGU
rnacentral:rRNA from 1 species